rnacentral:rRNA from 1 species
GCAUAUCAAUAAGCGGAGGAAAAGAAACUAACAAGGAUUCCCUUAGUAACGGCGAGUGAAGAGGGAAGAGCUCAAAUUUUAAAUCUAUCAUGUUUGUACAUGAUCGAGUUGUAAUUUGAAGAAGCGUUUUCUCGUACUUUAUGCAAUCAGUAUAAGUUCUCUUGGAACAGGACAUCAUAGAGGGUGAUAAUCCCGUCUGUUACUGGUUGUGAGGUUCGUUAUGAUACGCUUUCAAAGAGUCGAGUUGUUUGGGAUUGCAGCUCCAAAUGGGUGGUAAACAUCACCUAAGGCUAAAUAUUUGCGAGAGACCGAUAGCGAACAAGUACCGUGAGGGAAAGAUGAAAAGAACUUUGAAAAGAGAGUUAAAAAGUAUGUGAAAUUGUUGAAAGGGAAACGAUUGAAGUCAGUCGUGCAGUCAUCAAUUCAGCGGUUAACAUUUUAUGUUUCCGUGUAAUUUGGUGUCUGUUGGUUAGCAUCAAUUUUGAUUGUUAUAAAAAGGUUAAGGGGAUGUGGCUCCUUCGGGAGUGUUAUAACCCUUAGCGUAAUGUGACGAUUAGGAUUGAGGUUUGCAACGAAUACCUUUUAGGGCAGUUUCACCUGACCUCUCGUGGAAUUAUAGAUAGUUAAGAGCAUGCUCUUACUGUCUAUGAUUCUACGAAAAGGUUGGAGUGUAAAACUAAUUCGUUAAGGAUGUUGACGUA